rnacentral:ncRNA from 1 species
AGGCCCGACAUGCUACGCCAUUUGGUGGAUAGCUAGGCUCGGACGCCGAAGAAGGGCGCGGUAAGCCGCGAUAGGCUCCGGGGAGGCGCAUGCAGCCCUAGAUCCGGAGAUCCCCGAAUAGGACUUCCAGCCAUAGCUCGACUAUGGCACGCCUAUAUAGGCGGGGGAACCCCCCGAACGGAAACAUCUUAGUAGGGGGAGGAAGAAAAACCAAGAGGGAUUCCCUGAGUAGCGGCGAGUGAAAGGGGAAAGGGUUCAAACCGAAUCCCGCGGGGAGACCUGUGGGAGAUGUGGGGUUGCGGACCCAGCCGCCUCCUCAUCAGUUAAGCUGAAGUGGCCUGGGAAGGCCCGCCGGAGAGGGUGACAGCCCCGUAAGCGCACGCUGGUAGGAGUUGGGCUGGUGCUCCAGAGUAUCAAACCUUGAUUUUGGCUUGAGAACCUGGGAGGCAUCAACUUCCAAAACUAAAUACGUUCCGAGACCGAUAGCGCACUAGUACGGUGACGGAAAGCUGAAAAGUACCCCGGGAGGGGAGUUAAAAGAGCUUGAAACCAGAUGGUUAUAGACGUGCAUGGCCUGAAAGGGUAGAUUCCCCCCGAAGGAAACCGCGGUGACGUGGGAGUACGAGGGAGGAGGACCAGGGUCAUGCGUUCCGUCUCGAAACACGGGCCGGGGAGUUCACAAUCAUGGCGAGCUUAAGGGCGGAAACCCCGUAGGCGCAGGGAAACCGACAAGUUCGCAGUGGAGGCUUCUCCACCAGGAACGAGGUCUGAAAGGGCCUGGAGUCAUGGUUGUGAGACUAGAAACCGGGCGAUCUAGCCCUGGGCAGGGUGAAGCCAGGCGAAAGCCUGGUGGAGGCCCGAAGGGAUUCUGACGUGCAAUUCGAUCCUCUGACCUGGGGCUAGGGGCGAAAGACCAAUCUAGCUCGGUGAUAGCUAGUUCCUUCCGAAGUAUGUCGCAGCAUAGCCUCGAGCGAGGUAGCUGAUGGGGUAGAGCACUGAUCGGGAAGCAAGGGGGCGAGAGCUCCCACUUUCCCUUCAAACUCCGAAUCCAUCCGCGCCGUAGACCUCGGGAGACGGGUACUGGGGGGUAAGCCCCUAAGGCCGCGAGGGAAGCAACCCAGACUGGGGUUAAGGUCCCUAAAUGCAGACUAAGUGUAAAACAAAAAGGCGUUCUCAGCCUUAGACAGUGGGGAGGUAGGCUUAGAAGCAGCCAUCCUUCAAAGAAAGCGUAACAGCUCACCCACCGAGGCUGGGGGCCCUGAAAAUAGACGGGGCUAAGUCUGCUACCGAUACCCCAGAAUACAGUUGAAGACUGUAAUUUGGUAGGAAGGCGUUCCGCUUGGGCAGAAGCUGGGCUGAGAAGUCCAGUGGACCGAGUGGAAUUGUGUAUCCCGGCGGUAGUAACAGCAUAGUCAGGUGAAAAUCCUGACCGCCGUAAGGGCAAGGGUUCCCCGGCGAUGCGUCAUCAGCCGGGGGUAAGUCGAUCCUAAGGCCGAUCUUAACUGAGUAGGCCGAAAGGGAAACUGGUUAAUAUUCCAGUACCAUAAAGAUACGUGUGGUGACACAAGCCCACCGUCUAACGCUUUGAGAUAGGCUGAGCAAGGCCGUCGCCUUGUUUAACUGUAUACGCCUGGGGAGUACCGUAAUGGUGAGAACCAGGUGAAGGCAGGAACAGCCUCCCGUUAGGGGGGUUCAGUCGAUUCUUGGAGCCAGUGAAAAGGAUGGUGGGAAGGAUUCUUUAUGAUCGUACCCAGAACCAACACAGGUGUCCCUAGGUGAGAAACCUAAGGCGUAUCGGGUCGAAUCCGUGGCGAGGGAACUCGGCAAAUUAGCCCCGUAACUUUGGGAUAAGGGGUGCCUGCGGUCUUAGU